UGGGUAACCUGCCUCAAAGAGGGGAAUAGUCUCCCGAAAGGGAGAUUAAUACCGCAUAAUAUGUUUAGGUCGCAUGACUUUAACAUCAAAGGAUUUUCUUUUAGAAAUUCCACUUUGAGAUGGACCCGCGGCGCAUUAGCUAGUUGGUGAGGUAACGGCUCACCAAGGCAACGAUGCGUAGCGGACCUGAGAGGGUGAUCGGCCACAUUGGAACUGAGACACGGUCCAGCUCCUAGGAGG
rnacentral:rRNA from 1 species